rnacentral:rRNA from 1 species
UACGAAGGGGGCUAGCGUUGCUCGGAAUCACUGGGCGUAAAGCGCACGUAGGCGGAUCUUUAAGUCAGAGGUGAAAUCCCAAGGCUCAACCUUGGAACUGCCUUUGAUACUGGGGAUCUCGAGUCCGGAAGAGGUGAGUGGAACUGCGAGUGUAGAGGUGAAAUUCGUAGAUAUUCGCAAGAACACCAGUGGCGAAGGCGGCUCACUGGCCCGGAACUGACGCUGAGGUGCGAAAGCGUGGGGAGCAAACAGG